rnacentral:rRNA from 1 species
UUCCGUCGGAAUCUGGGAGGACCAUCUCCUAAGGCUAAAUACUCUCUAGUGACCGAUAGUGAACCAGUACCGUGAGGGAAAGGUGAAAAGCACCCCGGAAGGGGAGUGAAAUAGAACCUGAAACCGUGUGCUUACAAGUAGUCAGAGCCCGUUAAUGGGUGAUGGCGUGCCUUUUGUAGAAUGAACCGGCGAGUUACGAUUUGAUGCAAGGUUAAGCAGUAAAUGUGGAGCCGUAGCGAAAGCGAGUCUGAAUAGGGCGUUUAGUAUUUGGUCGUAGACCCGAAACCAGGUGAUCUACCCUUGGUCAGGUUGAAGUUCAGGUAACACUGAAUGGAGGACCGAACCGACUUACGUUGAAAAGUGAGCGGAUGAACUGAGGGUAGCGGAGAAAUUCCAAUCGAACCUGGAGAUAGCUGGUUCUCUCCGAAAUAGCUUUAGGGCUAGCCUCAAGUGAUGAUUAUUGGAGGUAGAGCACUGUUUGGACGAGGGGCCCCUCUCGGGUUACCGAAUUCAGACAAACUCCGAAUGCCAAUUAAUUUAACUUGGGAGUCAGAACAUGGGUGAUAAGGUCCGUGUUCGAAAGGGAAACAGCCCAGACCACCAGCUAAGGUCCCAAAAUAUAUGUUAAGUGGAAAAGGAUGUGGCGUUGCCCAGACAACUAGGAUGUUGGCUUAGAAGCAGCCAUCAUUUAAAGAGUGCGUAAUAGCUCACUAGUCGAGUGACACUGCGCCGAAAAUGUACCGGGGCUAAACAUAUUACCGAAGCUGUGGAUUGUCCUUUGGACAAUGGUAGGAGAGCGUUCUAAGGGCGUUGAAGCAUGAUCGUAAGGACAUGUGGAGCGCUUAGAAGUGAGAAUGCCGGUGUGAGUAGCGAAAGACGGGUGAGAAUCCCGUCCACCGAUUGACUAAGGUUUCCAGAGGAAGGCUCGUCCGCUCUGGGUUAGUCGGGUCCUAAGCUGAGGCCGACAGGCGUAGGCGAUGGAUAACAGGUUGAUAUUCCUGUACCACCUAUA